UACGGAGGGUGCAAGCGUUAUCCGGAUUCACUGGGUUUAAAGGGUGCGUAGGUGGGUCUGUAAGUCCGUGGUGAAAUCUCCGAGCUUAACUUGGAAACUGCCGUGGAUACUACCGGUCUUGAAUAUCGUGGAGGUGAGCGGAAUAUGUCAUGUAGCGGUGAAAUGCUUAGAGAUGACAUAGAACACCCAUUGCGAAGGCAGCUCACUACCCGAAUAUUGACUCUGAGGCACGAAAGCGUGGGGAUCAAACAGG
rnacentral:rRNA from 1 species